GCCGAAUGGGGCCGGGACACACGUCGAUGGCCAUAUGCUCCUGGAUGCUGAUGGUCGCCUUCUCCCCGCGCCGCCGGAGGGUCAUGCAGGCAGCGCCGCGGCGCGCGGCCCGGCCCGGCCCGGUGUGACCCCGGCCCGGGGGCAAGUCAGCGGGUCCCGCGGGGCGCUGCGGGGGCUGCGGUCAUCGCCAGCGUGGCCCCCGGACGGCCCUGACGCGGCUGCUGCCUGCUCGGCGGCGGCCGGUGCGAGUGAGUGCGGGGCCGGCAGCAGGGGGCGGGCCCAGCCCGCGUCACCCGGCAGCAACCAAGCGACUACCAGGUUGCUUGCUGUCUGAGAUGCUUCUGUGCUUCUGGAUUUUGACGGACAUUGUAGAUCACUCUCCACUCAUCACCAUGAAAAGUUCAGUGCCAAAUGAGAGAUGUGGACCAGGAGAACUUUCCUUUGUGAUGUGUGGAUGGAAGCUUGGGUCUGGUGCAUGCAAGUUACCCAAAUGGAACAAAUCCAAAACCCUGAAGUACGUACUUUCUGGGGCAGAUCUGGAAGGAAAAAAACAGCACACGACAUGAAGAGAGUCGGGUCACCUCCCGAAGCCCUUCCAAAGCUGCUGCCAGGCCUGUGAUCUUGAGCUACCUCUUCUGUGACAAGCCACCAGCAGGUGUACCCUCACCCUUCUGGCCCUGUGAAGUGUGGCCCCUACAGGGCAGAAGAAGCCAGACCCAAGGGGAAGGGCCGGGUCUGGAGCCCAGCUCUGGCCUGCACCCUGGGCCUCAGGCUAUGUGGCUCUAAGAUGCUGCUAUUGAAUAUCCAUCCACUCAGAACCUCCUGCCGCUUGUGUGAGACCAGGAAAUUUGCAAUGAAAACCAGAAACAGGAGCAGCGCAGAGCCACACAGAGCCCUCUACAGCAGCGGCACAAGCAGUGGCUGCCAGUCACAGAGGGGCGCACACCCAUCUCUGGAUAGUCACUACAGAUACCAAGUCACCCUGUUCAUUAGGACC